rnacentral:rRNA from 1 species
CCUACGGGUGGCAGCAGUGAGGAAUAUUGGUCAAUGGACGAGAGUCUGAACCAGCCAAGUAGCGUGAAGGAUGACUGCCCUAUGGGUUGUAAACUUCUUUUAUAUGGGAAUAAAACGUUCCACGUGUGGGAUUUUGUAUGUACCAUAUGAAUAAGGAUCGGCUAACUCCGUGCCAGCAGCCGCGGUAAUACGGAGGAUCCGAGCGUUAUCCGGAUUUAUUGGGUUUAAAGGGAGCGUAGGUGGAUUGUUAAGUCAGUUGUGAAAGUUUGCGGCUCAACCGUAAAAUUGCAGUUGAAACUGACAGUCUUGAGUACAGUAGAGGUGAGCGGAAUUCGUGGUGUAGCGGUGAAAUGCUUAGAUAUCACGAAGAACUCCGAUUGCGAAGGCAGUUCACUGGACUGCAACUGACACUGAGGCUCGAAAGUGUGGGUAUCAAACAGGAUUAGAUACCCUUGUAGUC